rfam:Canis lupus familiaris chromosome 18, whole genome shotgun sequence.
GUGCUUGCUUUGGCAGCACAUAAACUAAAAUUGGAACUAUACAGAGAAGAUUAGCAUGGCCUCUGCGCAGGAUGACACGCAAAUUCUUGAAGUGGUCCGUAUUUAA